rnacentral:rRNA from 1 species
GUCGACGAGACCUUCGGGUCUAGUGGCGCACGGGUGCGUAACGCGUGGGAAUCUGCCCUUAGGUUCGGAAUAACUCAGGGAAACUUGAGCUAAUACCGGAUAAUGACUUCGGUCCAAAGAUUUAUCGCCUAAGGAUGAGCCCGCGUAGGAUUAGCUAGUUGGUGAGGUAAAGGCUCACCAAGGCUACGAUCCUUAGCUGGUCUGAGAGGAUGAUCAGCCACACUGGGACUGAGACACGGCCCAGACUCCUACGGGAGGCAGCAGUGGGGAAUAUUGGACAAUGGGCGAAAGCCUGAUCCAGCAAUGCCGCGUGAGUGAUGAAGGCCUUAGGGUUGUAAAGCUCUUUUACCCGGGAUGAUAAUGACAGUACCGGGAGAAUAAGCUCCGGCUAACUCCGUGCCAGCAGCCGCGGUAAUACGGAGGGAGCUAGCGUUGUUCGGAAUUACUGGGCGUAAAGCGCACGUAGGCGGCUUUGUAAGUUAGAGGUGAAAGCCCGGAGCUCAACUCCGGAAUUGCCUUUAAGACUGCAUCGCUUGAAUCCAGGAGAGGUGAGUGGAAUUCCGAGUGUAGAGGUGAAAUUCGUAGAUAUUCGGAAGAACACCAGUGG